UGCCAGCCGCCGCGGUAAUACGGAGGGUGCAAGCGUUAAUCGGAAUUACUGGGCGUAAAGCGCGCGUAGGCGGCGGUUUAAGUCAGAUGUGAAAGCCCUCGGCUCAACCGAGGAAUUGCAACGGAUACUGCCAAGCUAGAGUGCAGGAGGGGAGAGUGGAAUUCCUGGUGGAGCGGUGAAAUGCGUAGAUAUCAGGAGGAACGCCGGUGGCGAAAGCGACUCUCUGGCCUGUUACUGACGCUGAGGCCCGAAAGCUAGGGGAGCGAACGGGAUUAGAUA
rnacentral:rRNA from 1 species